GUGGGGAAUUUUGGGCAAUGGGCGAAAGCCUGACCCAGCAACGCCGCGUGGAGGAAGAAGAUUUUCGGAUCGUAAACUCCUGUCCGGGGGGACGAAGCAAGUGACGGUACCCCUGGAGGAAGCCCCGGCUAACUCCGUGCCAGCAGCCGCGGUAAUACGGGGGGGGCGAGCGUUGUUCGGAAUUACUGGGCGUAAAGGGCGCGUAGGCGGUUUCGGAAGUCAUGGGUGAAAGCCCCCGGCUCAACCGGGGAACGGCCUGUGAAACCACGGGACUGGAGUGCUGGAGAGGAGAGUGGAAUUCCCAGUGUAGCGGUGAAAUGCGUAGAUAUUGGGAGGAACAUCUGAGGCGAAGGCGGCUCUCUGGACAGACACUGACGCUGAGGCGCGAAAGCCAGGGGAGCAAACGGGAUUAGAAACCCGGGUAGUCC
rnacentral:rRNA from 1 species